GCACAAUGAUGAUAUGGAACACAACCAUUUCUUUGCAGUUCCCACAUGAAUCUCUACAAAUAAAGUCCAAGUGCCCAUUAGUAUCAGGGCUGUGAGAGCUCUGUUCAGCAAGCACUUAGAUGUUGAAUCUUCUCACGUAUUGCCUUGUAGCACUGGAGACUGCAGAGAGGCAGUUUUGAUUUGGAGUCUCUGUAUUUGUAUGUAUUCAUACAAGAUGGACCGGCACAUUU
rnacentral:misc_RNA from 1 species